GUGCUUAUAGCUCAACUGGAUAGAGCAACAAACUACGGAUUUGUAGGUUGGGAGUUCAAUUCUUCCUAAGCACG
rnacentral:tRNA from 1 species